rnacentral:rRNA from 2 species
UAAUGCACCGGAUCCGGCGAGAGUAGUACUAGGAUGGGUGACCUCCUGGGAAGUCCUCGUGUUGCACCAC